rnacentral:rRNA from 1 species
GAAUAUUGGACAAUGGGGGGAACCCUGAUCCAGCCAUGCCGCGUGUGUGAAGAAGGCCUUUUGGUUGUAAAGCACUUUAAGCGAGGAGGAGGCUACUUAGAUUAAUACUCUUGGAUAGUGGACGUUACUCGCAGACUAAGCACCGGCUAACUCGUUGCCAGCCGCCGCGGUAAUGCAGAGGGUGCAAGCGUUAAUCGGAUUUACUGGGCGUAAAGCGCGCGUAGGUGGCCAAUUAAGUCAAAUGUGAAAUCCCCGAGCUUAACUUGGGAAGUGCAUUCGAUACUGGUUGGCUAGAGUAUGGGAGAGGGUGGUAGAAUUCCAGGUGUAGCGGUGAAAUGCGUAGAGAUCUGGAGGAGUACCGAUGGCGAAGGCAGCCAUCUGGUCUAAUACUGACACUGAGGUGCGAAAGCAUGGGGAGCAAACA